UUGGGUGUAACUCAGUGAUAGAGCAUGUGCUUAGCAUACAUGAGGCCCUGAGUUCAACCCCAGUGCCCAAA
rnacentral:tRNA from 1 species